UUUUAGAGUUUGAUCCUGGCUCAGGAUUAACGCUGGCGGCAUGCCUAAUACAUGCAAGUCGAACGAAAGUAGCAAUACUUUAGUGGCGAACGGGUGAGUAACACGUAUCUAACCUACCAUUUAGUGGGGAAUAACUGUUGGAAACGACAGCUAAUACCGCAUAUGUUAUUUAUUUGCAAUGAUAAAUAAUGAAAGGAGCAUUUACUUCGCUAAUUGAUGGGGAUGCGGCGCAUUAACUAGUUGGUAAGGUAAUGGCUUACCAAGGUAACGAUGCGUAGCCGAUCUGAGAGGAUGAACGGCCACAUUGGGACUGAGACACGGCCCAAACUUCUACGGAAGGCAGCAGUAGGGAAUUUUUCACAAUGGGCGAAAGCCUGAUGGAGCAAUGCCGCGUGACUGAUGAAGGUCUUCGGAUUGUAAAGGUCUGUUGUAAGGGAAGAAGUGCUAGAAUAGGAAAUGAUUUUAGUAUUGACCAUACCUUACCAGAAAGCCACGGCUAAA
rnacentral:rRNA from 1 species